UACUCAAUUUAUUUCGGUAAUAGUUUGAUUUGAUAAAAGUUCAUAUUCUGUUUCAAAAUGAAUGUGUUUUUAUGGAUGCAUUCAAUUUGAUGUGAAGUAUGUGUUGUCACUUUGAGAUAGGUUGAAGAGUAGCUACAUGUGCUGUUUUGUUUAUACUAUGUGGGAGAGAGCACAACCUACCUUGUUUAUUUUUUUUGUGAUUGGCUGUUUCUUGAGUCAUGUCACUGUUCAGUGAUUGGGAGGGGGCGGGACAAAGAGAGACCAGGAUGUGGAGGAAAAAAUGGCUUGGGAGAGAGACGAGAAGAGAGACAUGUCGAGACGGUUUUGCAAGUUUGGAGUUGCGGUUACAUUUCAGGCUGUAGAAAAUAGAGCCCAAUAACCUUGCUCUAUGUGAACCCGAGAAUUUAGUGUGAGACGUCGGAGGAGAAAAGAUAUUUCUCCUGCUGCCCCAAGAGUUCGUCAUCAGGGCGUCGGAGGAACACGCCUGCUGCUGCAUGUUUUUCCCGAAGGAGAAAGGACAUUUCUCUUGUAUCCACGAGGGUCAGUAAGCUGAGGGAACGAGACGGUUUGACCUGCCGGUGUGGUGGAUCCAGAGCCUGCGACCUGCUAGCGUCCUGCUCCGCCGCUGCUUCAGCCUUUUGUCCUCUUCCCGCCAUCGCAAAGAGACUGACUUGAACUCGGUUACAAACUAUCUGGUGGACAGCCACUGCUCGAUCUUCUACCUGAAGUCUCUGCCAACAACCUACAGACUGCCUCCACCUGCAGAUUGUUGCAGGAAUCUUCAACUGGAAGUUCCAUGUGCAAAUCUCUGCUAGAAGCCAGAGCCUCCUACCCCCUCCAACAAAUCUGAAUUUUGUAGAACCUUCAUUUAGAACUUCAACCUGCCAGUAUGUGCUAGCAGCCAGAGCCUCCUUACCCCACCAACAGUUCUGGUGGACAACUACAGUGAAG